UUGAACGCUGGCGGCAGGCCUAACACAUGCAAGUCGAGCGGAUGAAGGAAGCUUGCUCCUGGAUUCAGCGGCGGACGGGUGAGUAAUGCCUAGGAAUCUGCCUGGUAGUGGGGGAUAACGUCCGGAAACGGGCGCUAAUACCGCAUACGUCCUGAGGGAGAAAGUGGGGGAUCUUCGGACCUCACGCUAUCAGAUGAGCCUAGGUCGGAUUAGCUAGUUGGUGGGGUAAAGGCCUACCAAGGCGACGAUCCGUAACUGGUCUGAGAGGAUGAUCAGUCACACUGGAACUGAGACACGGUCCAGACUCCUACGGGAGGCAGCAGUGGGGAAUAUUGGACAAUGGGCGAAAGCCUGAUCCAGCCAUGCCGCGUGUGUGAAGAAGGUCUUCGGAUUGUAAAGCACUUUAAGUUGGGAGGAAGGGCAGUAAGUUAAUACCUUGCUGUUUUGACGUUACCAACAGAAUAAGCACCGGCUAACUUCGUG
rnacentral:rRNA from 1 species